rnacentral:rRNA from 1 species
UCCUACGGGAGGCAGCAGUGAGGAAUAUUGGUCAAUGGACGAGAGUCUGAACCAGCCAAGUAGCGUGCAGGAUGACGGCCCUAUGGGUUGUAAACUGCUUUUAUACAGGGAUAAAGUGCACUACGUGUAGUGUUUUGUAGGUACUGUAUGAAUAAGGACCGGCUAAUUCCGUGCCAGCAGCCGCGCCUA